UUGCUAUAAUUGUCAGCUAAGUGGCGCACGGGUGAGUAAUGUAUAGAUAACCUGCCCUUAAGAAAGGAAUAACAGUUGGAAACGACUGCUAAUGCCCUAUAUGCCUUUAAUACAUAAGUAUGCAAGGGAAACGCUUUAGUGCUUAAGGAUGGGUCUGUAUGGUAUCAGCUUGUUGGUGAGGUAAUGGCUCACCAAGGCUAUGACGCCUAACUGGUUUGAGAGGAUGAUCAGUCACACUGGAACUGAGACACGGUCCAGACUCCUACGGGAGGCAGCAGUGGGGAAUAUUGCACAAUGGACGAAAGUCUGAUGCAGCAACGCCGCGUGGAGGAUGACACAUUUCGGUGCGUAAACUCCUUUUAUAUAGGAAGAUAAUGACGGUACUAUAUGAAUAAGCACCGGCUAACUCCGUGCCAGCAGCCGCGGUAAUACGGAGGGUGCAAGCGUUACUCGGAAUCACUGGGCGUAAAGAGCGUGUAGGCGGGUAUAUAAGUCAGAAGUGAAAUCCAAUAGCUCAACUAUUGAACUGCUUUUGAAACUGUAUACCUAGAAUGUGGGAGAGGUAGAUGGAAUUUCUGGUGUAGGGGUAAAAUCCGUAGAGAUCAGAAGGAAUACCGAUUGCGAAGGCGAUCUACUGGAACAUUAUUGACGCUGAGAUGCGAAAGCGUGGGGAGCAAACAGGAUUAGAUACCCUGGUAGUCCACGCCCUAAACGAUGUACACUAGUUGUUGUGAGGCUCGACCUUGCAGUAAUGCAGUUAACACAUUAAGUGUACCGCCUGGGGAGUACGGUCGCAAGAU
rnacentral:rRNA from 1 species